rnacentral:misc_RNA from 1 species
GAUGAAGAACGCAGCAAAAUGCGAUAAGUAAUGUGAAUUGCAGAAUUCAGUGAAUCAUCGAAUCUUUGAACGCACAUUGCGCCCGCCAGUAUUCUGGCGGGCAUGCCUGUUCGAGCGUCAUUUCAACCCUCAGGCCCCCAGUGCCUGGUGUUGGGGAUCGGCCCAGCCUUCCUGUAAGGCCGCCGGCCCCGAAAUCUAGUGGCGGUCUCGCUGUAGUCCUCCUCUGCGUAGUAGCACAACCUCGCAGUUGGAACGCGGCGGUGGCCAUGCCGUUAAACACCCCACUUCUGAAAGUUGACCUCGGAUCAGGUAGGAAUACCCGCUGAACUUAAGCAUAUCAAUAAGCGGAGGA